rnacentral:rRNA from 1 species
GACGAAAGUCUGACGGAGCACGCCGCGUGAGCGAAGAAGGCCUUCGGGUCGUAAAGCUCUGUUGUUAGGGAAGAACAAGUAUCGGAGUAACUGCCGGUACCUUGACGGUACCUAACCAGAAAGCCACGGCUAACUACGUGCCAGCAGCCGCGGUAAUACGUAGGUGGCAAGCGUUGUCCGGAAUUAUUGGGCGUAAAGCGCGCGCAGGCGGUUCCUUAAGUCUGAUGUGAAAGCCCCCGGCUCAACCGGGGAGGGUCAUUGGAAACUGGGGAACUUGAGUGCAGAAGAGAAGAGCGGAAUUCCACGUGUAGCGGUGAAAUGCGUAGAGAUGUGGAGGAACACCAGUGGCGAAGGCGGCUCUUUGGUCUGUAACUGACGCUGAGGCGCGAAAGCGUGGGGAGCGAACAGGAUUAGAUACCCUGGUAGUCCACGCCGUAAACGAUGAGUGCUAAGUGUUAGAGGGUUUCCGCCCUUUAGUGCUGCAGCAAACGCAUUAAGCACUCCGCCUGGGGAGUAC